UGGGGAAUAUUGCACAAUGGAGGGAACUCUGAUGCAGCGACGCCGCGUGAACGAAGAAGGCUUUCGAGUCGUAAAGUUCUUUUAUAUGGGAAGAUAAUGACGGUACCAUAAGAAAAAGCCCCGGCUAACUACGUGCCAGCAGCCGCGGUAAUACGUAGGGGGCUAGCGUUGUCCGGAAUCACUGGGCGUAAAGGGUUCGCAGGCGGAAAUGCAAGUCAGGUGUAAAAGGCAGUAGCUUAACUACUGUAAGCAUUUGAAACUGCACAUCUUGAGAAGAGUAGAGGUAAGUGGAAUUUUUAGUGUAGCGGUGAAAUGCGUAGAUAUUAAAAAGAAUACCGGUGGCGAAGGCGACUUACUGGGCUCAUUCUGACGCUGAGGAACGAAAGCGUGGGUAGCAAACAGG
rnacentral:rRNA from 2 species